CAAAUCCUGGAAUAUAAGAUAUUUACAAGUGGUCCGACAACUCUAAUAAUAUAGUUGACUACUGACUUUUGACUUUGACUUCCAUUACUCUGGAUGAAAAUUUCCUACAACUACAAAGACGCCAUUAGGCUUAUGAACCAGUAUCAGACCGGCUGCAACACCUCUGACCUACAGUCUGAGGCAGAACAGGAAGGUGAGCUGCUGCCAGAGAAAAGAGUCAGGAAGCCAAUCCAUUGUUUUGGGGACUCAGAUGACAGUGAAGAAGAGCCAGUAAAUGGUGACUUUGCCACCUUCGAACACCCUUCACCACCUCAACUCCCUGCACCCGCAAUUAACAUGCAGAGAGUUACUCAAGGAACGGCAGUCCCUCCUCAGCUCUCUCCACCCCCCGCACCAGCCCUCAACAUGCGGCGAACAGAGAAGCCCUGUUCAAGCCUGGUCUAUAGACCAACAUGGCGAGGGGGAAGAAUGGCCGAUGCCAUUCCCUGCUCUGAGCCGCUGAGGUCCAAAUCCUGCUGGAAACAAUUAAACAGCAACAAGACCAGCUUGUGGCAAGGGUGA
rnacentral:lncRNA from 1 species